CGGGUUGUAAACCUCUUUCAGUAGGGAAGAAGCGAAAGUGACGGUACCUGCAGAAGAAGCACCGCCUAACUACGUGCCAGCAGCCGCGGUAAUACGUAGGGUGCGAGCGUUAUCCGGAAUUAUUGGGCGUAAAGAGCUCGUAGGCGGUUUGUCGCGUCUGUCGUGAAAGUCCGGGGCUUAACCCCGGAUCUGCGGUGCGUACGGGCAGACUAGAGUGCAGUAGGGGAGACUGGAAUUCCUGGUGGAGCGGUGGAAUGCGCAGAUAUCAGGAGGAACACCGAUGGCGAAGGCAGGUCUCUGGGCUGUAACUGACGCUGAGGAGCGAAAGCAUGGGGAGCGAACAGGAUUAGAUACCCUGGUAGUCCAUGCCGUAAACGUUGGGCACUAGGUGUGGGGACCAUUCCACGGUUUCCGCGCCGCAGCUAACGCAUUAAGUGCCCCGCCUGGGGAGUACGGCCGCAAGGUAAAACUCAAGGAAUUGACG
rnacentral:rRNA from 1 species